GGAAGAGUGGCCUCACAUUUAAGGCAUCGGAUUGGGAUUCAGGAGAUCUAGGCUCAAAGCCUGGCUCUGCCA
rnacentral:tRNA from 1 species